GGUCUGAGAGGAUGAUCAGCCACACUGGAACUUAGACACGGUCCAGACUCCUACGGGAGGCAGCAGUGGGGAAUAUUGCACAAUGGGGGAAACCCUGAUGCAGCCAUGCCGCGUGUGUGAAGAAGGCCUUCGGGUUGUAAAGCACUUUCAGCGAGGAGGAAAGGUUGAUGCCUAAUACGUAGCAACUGUGACGUUACUCGCAGAAGAAGCACCGGCUAACUCCGUGCCAGCAGCCGCGGUAAUACGGAGGGUGCAAGCGUUAAUCGGAAUUACUGGGCGUAAAGCGCACGCAGGCGGUUGGAUAAGUUAGAUGUGAAAGCCCCGGGCUCAACCUGGGAAUUGCAUUUAAAACUG
rnacentral:rRNA from 1 species